UUUAACUGAAGAGUUUGAUCAUGGCUCAGAUUGAACGCUGGCGGCAGGCUUAACACAUGCAAGUCGAGCGGAGAGAGGUAGCUUGCUACUGAUC
rnacentral:rRNA from 1 species